CUUCCUCCCAGACUUCAGCAGUCCUCCUCCCUCAGACUUCUGAGUACUGACACUGUAGGCAUUCGUAUUCUAAAACUUUGGGGGACGACUUCAGAGCAUAAAUGAGAAUAGAACCGCCGUCUAUCCAUAUGAAGUGUCAGAUCCCAACCGAGUAGCAGCCUACAAGAUAUUGACAGGGUCUGGAACUGGCUAUGUAGACCAGACGAACCUCAAAAUUAUAGAGAUCAGCUUGUCUCUGCUUCCUGAGUGCAAUUUUCUUGAUUGCUCUAUGAAUCUAACACUGUUCCAAAAUAAAUGGUGUAUUUUUAAAAGUCUUAUGUCCAUCCAAAACUAGUUUCAUGAGAACAUUUCCAGAAAAAUACUCUGCUUCUAUGUCUGGAUAUUCCCAUUCAGUCCUCCUUCCCUUCUGCUCAGUUUCUCUACUGAGCUCUUGACCAGAAGGCUGACCUUACACACAACAUCAAUAGGCCCCUUCCAGGAGCACAAGAGCAGUACAGGGAAGAGGAACUGCAACAGAAGAUGAAGGAGAGAGAAUUUUCAGUGUGCCCCGGACUCCUUCCUUGCUGAAUGUGAAAUUAUUAAUAGCUCUGGUUCUCUGCCUGAGUGAGUGAUCUGAUGGGCAGUCUUCUGCAGUAACACGGUCCUGGCGACAGCUCCCUCCUUCUGCCCUCUCAGAUUGGGACAUUUAGGGGUUGACAGCUCCGUGAAGUCACUCCUGAAGAACUUUGCCCUGUUUUCAUGUUCCUUUACCGGCCUACCCUUUUGUAAGCAAGCCAUUGGUUAACUCCAUCUGAAUAUGCCAUCUUUUUUAACUUUUUUAAGUAAUAUACAAGUAUAUAUCCCUCCAUCUACAUAAACAUUAGUAUACUGUACACUUUUCUGGCUUCUUUUUUUCCAUCUCAGCAUAGUUUGAGUUUCUUUCUGUCUAUAUAUACUGGUUACCUUAUGAGUGUCCCAUUUCUGUGUAUAAUAUACUUGUAAACUUUGUAUAAAAAAUGUGAACGGAAAAAUGAAAGUAGGUGAGUGUUGUCUGUUUAUUUUUUU